rnacentral:rRNA from 1 species
AGUUUGAUCCUGGCUCAGGAUGAACGCUAGCGACAGGCUUAACACAUGCAAGUCGAGGGGCAGCACAGGUAGCAAUACCGGGUGGCGACCGGCGCACGGGUGAGUAACGCGUAUGCAACUUGCCUAUCAGAGGGGGAUAACCCGGCGAAAGUCGGACUAAUACCGCAUGAAGCAGGGGCCCCGCAUGGGGAUAUUUGCUAAAGAUUCAUCGCUGAUAGAUAGGCAUGCGUUCCAUUAGGCAGUUGGCGGGGUAACGGCCCACCAAACCGACGAUGGAUAGGGGUUCUGAGAGGAAGGUCCCCCACAUUGGUACUGAGACACGGACCAAACUCCUACGGGAGGCAGCAGUGAGGAAUAUUGGUCAAUGGGCGUAAGCCUGAACCAGCCAAGUCGCGUGAGGGAUGAAGGUUCUAUGGAUCGUAAACCUCUUUUAUAAGGGAAUAAAGUGCGGGACGUGUCCCGUUUUGUAUGUACCUUAUGAAUAAGGAUCGGCUAACUCCGUGCCAGCAGCCGCGGUAAUACGGAGGAUCCGAGCGUUAUCCGGAUUUAUUGGGUUUAAAGGGUGCGUAGGCGGCCUUUUAAGUCAGCGGUGAAAGUCUGUGGCUCAACCAUAGAAUUGCCGUUGAAACUGGGAGGCUUGAGUAUGUUUGAGGCAGGCGGAAUGCGUGGUGUAGCGGUGAAAUGCUUAGAUAUCACGCAGAACCCCGAUUGCGAAGGCAGCCUGCCAAGCCAUGACUGACGCUGAUGCACGAAAGCGUGGGGAUCAAACAGGAUUAGAUACCCUGGUAGUCCACGCAGUAAACGAUGAUCACUAGCUGUUUGCGAUACACAGUAAGCGGCACAGCGAAAGCGUUAAGUGAUCCACCUGGGGAGUACGCCGGCAACGGUGAAACUCAAAUGAAUUGACGGAAGG